rnacentral:rRNA from 1 species
GACGAACGCUGGCGGCGUGCUUAACACAUGCAAGUCGAGCGGUAAGGCCCUUCGGGGUACACGAGCGGCGAACGGGUGAGUAACACGUGAGCAAUCUGCCCUCCACAUCGGGAUACCCCCCGGAAACGGGAGCUAAUACCGGAUACGACCACUUCAGGCAUCUGAUGGUGGUGGAAAGUUCCGGCGGUGGAGGAUGAGCUCGCGGCCUAUCAGCUUGUUGGUGGGGUAAUGGCCCACCAAGGCUUCGACGGGUAGCCGGCCUGAGAGGGUGACCGGCCACACUGGGGACUGAGACACGGCCCAGACUCCUACGGGAGGC